rnacentral:rRNA from 1 species
GACGAACGCUGGCGGCGUGCUUAACACAUGCAAGUCGAACGAUGAUGUCCAGCUUGCUGGGUGGAUUAGUGGCGAACGGGUGAGUAACACGUGAGUAACCUGCCCCUGACUUGGGGAUAAGCGGUGGAAACGACGUUUAAUACUGGAUACGACUACUGGUGGCAUGGUCUGGUGGUGGAAAGAGUCUUUGGUUGGGGGUGGACACGCGGCCUAUCAGCUGGUUGGUGAGGGAAUGGCUCACCAAGGCGAAGACGGGUAGCCGGCCUGAGUGGGUGACCGGCCACACUGGGACUGAAACACGGCCCAGACUCCUACGGGAGGCAGCAGUGGGGAAUAUUGCACAAUGGGCGAAAGCCUGAUGCAGCGACGCCGCGUGAGGGAUGACGGCCUUCGGGUUGUAAACCUCUUUUAGUAGGGAAGAAGCGAAAGUGACGGUACCUGCAGAAAAAGCACCGGCUAACUACGUGCCAGCAGCCGCCGUAA